rnacentral:rRNA from 1 species
CCUACGGGAGGCAGCAGUGGGGAAUAUUGGGCAAUGGGCGCAAGCCUGACCCAGCAACGCCGCGUGAAGGAAGAAGGCUUUCGGGUUGUAAACUUCUUUUGACAGGGAAGAGUAGAAGACGGUACCUGUCGAAUAAGCCACGGCUAACUACGUGCCAGCAGCCGCGGUAAUACGAAGGUGGCAAGCGUUGUCCGGAUUUACUGGGUGUAAAGGGCGUGUAGCCGGGUUGACAAGUCAGAUGUGAAAUCCUGCGGCUUAACCGCAGAACUGCAUUUGAAACUGUUGAUCUUGAGUACUGGAGAGGCAGACGGAAUUCGUAGUGUAGCGGUGAAAUGCGUAGAUAUUAGGAGGAACACCAGUGGCGAAGGCAGUCUGCUGGACAGCAACUGACGGUGAGGCGCGAAAGCGUGGGGAGCAAACAGGAUUAGAUACCCUUGUAGUC